GAAAGUAAGAAAAAAAAAAUGUUUAGUUUAAUGACAGACAUUUUUACAGAAGCUCCGUCUGGAUCUCUCAUGUAAUGAUGCAUGUGUGUCUCUGUAGCCCAGUUUUCCUCCUGCUCCUCCGCCGCAGAUGAACCCCACGGCCCAACCCCGACAGUUUGCCUCCGGUCCGAGAGCUUUACCACAACAGCCGUACUAUCCCAGUCGGCCCACUUUACCUGCUAAUUCUGGGCGUGUCCCACCAAGCUCCGCCCCCUCGGCCCAU